GGUGCCAGAUUUGUUUCCCCUACUAUGGCCACGCCAUGACCCACCCUUCAAUAGCAGCUUGAUUGGUUGGAGUUAGGCAUUUGACCU